CCGACGGUGAGGGGCGAAGGCUGGGGGCGCAAACCGGAUUAGAUACCCGGGUAGUCCCAGCAGUAAACGAUGCCAGCUAUGUGUUGCUGGAACCAUGGGUUCCAGCAGUGCCGAAGGGAAGCCGUGAAGCUGGCCACCUGGGAAGUACGGUCGCAAGGCUGAAACUUAAAGGAAUUGGCGGGGGAGUACCACAACCGGUGGAGCCUGCGGUUUAAUUGGAUACAACGCCGGGAAUCUUACCGGAGGGGACAGCAGUAUGAAGGCCAGGCUAAAGACCUUGCCAGAUCAGCUGAGAGGAGGUGCAUGGCCGUCGCCAGUUCGUACCGUGAGGCAUCCUGUUUAGUCAGGCAACGAUCGAGACCCGCAGUCUUAUUUGCCAGCAUGCCCUUUGGGGUGUAUGGGUACAAUAAGACGACCGCCAGCGCUAAGCUGGAGGAAGGAGCGGGCUACGGUAGGUCAGCAUGCCCCGAAUCCUCCGGGAUACACGCGGGCUACAAUGGUCAGGACAAAAGGUACCGACCUCGAAAGAGUGAGGUAAUCCACAAACCUGAUCUCAGUCCGGAUCGAAGGCUGCAACUCGCCUUCGUGGAGAUGGAAUC
rnacentral:rRNA from 1 species